rnacentral:rRNA from 1 species
GACGUAGGGCGCGAGCGUUGUCCGGAUUUAUUGGGCGUAAAGAGCUCGUAGGCGGUGUGUCACGUCGGCCGUGAAAACCUGGGGCUUAACUCUGGGCGUGCGGUCGAUACGGGCAUCACUAGAGUUCGGCAGGGGAGACUGGAAUUCCUGGUGUAGCGGUGAAAUGCGCAGAUAUCAGGAGGAACACCGGUGGCGAAGGCGAGUCUCUGGACGACUCCUGACACUGAGGCACGAAAGCUGGGGGAGCAAACAGG